UACAGAAUGAACUGUGACUCUUUAUCCCAAGCACAAUGUUAUUAGAUUAUGAUUAUGACGCAGAACGUCGACACAGCUGGACUGGAUACAGACAAUAUAACCGGACUUGGAAAAUCUUUCCAAACGGAUAUACAGCACAUCACCGGAGAGACACAGACAGGCAACGACAACGCGGCGGAACUGAUAGAUCACGCAAGUAGAACUGGCCUUUUGUCUACACUCACUGGCUUUAUAGCUGACUUUUCUUUAGAAAGGAAAAAAGAGAAGAAAGAGAGCAUCACCAACAACAACAGAAGGAAUUGAGGCUAUUGACUAACUCUGCUCAGGACAAUGGUAAGAAAAUGUGGCCUUGUGGGAUGCUGUGAUCUCUAUCGGCAGUGACGGUGCUGAUGGUGUCGGGACAUGUUUAAGGGAAAAGCAGACAUUCUCAUGAGCCGAGAACUUAUUCCCGCGAUCCUGAAUGGGAAGAACAUCGGAGCUGUGGUCCUCCAUGCUGGCACGAACGACACCAGGCUGAGGCAGACGGAAAUCCUGAAGAAGGACUUCAGAAGCCUGAUUGAGAAGGUACGCAGCACAUCGCCCACGACGAGGAUCAUCGCGUCAGGACCGCUUCCCACGUUCCAGCGAGGAAUUGAGAGGUUCAGUAGGCUAUUUGCUUUUAAUGAAUGGUUACAGUCAUGGUGUCAAGACCAGAAAUUACCCUUUAUUGAUAACUGGAAUAUUUUCUGGGAGCGUCCUAGGCUCUACCACACUGACGGCCUGCACCCAAGCAGAGCUGGAGCAGCGGUCCUCUCGGACAACAUCUCUAGGACACUACGCACCAUCUGACUGCUACACUCCUGAGCUGCUGGUGAUCCAGACCCCCCUACGCUCUGGACCAGAUGAGCAUCACUCCUGAGCUGCUGGUAAUCCAGACCUCCCCCCCUUCACUCUGGACCUGUCCACCGGCAAUGCUUCACACUGCCACGAAAACGCUUCAGCUGUUUUCCAUGGACUACACCAACACACAUUGUACACACACACACGCACACUUCAGUGUAAACCCAUAUGAGGAUGGGUUCUCUGUUGAGCCUGGUUCCUCUCAAGGUUUCUUCCUAUCACCAUCUCAGGGAGUUUUUCCUUGCCACCGUCGCCCUGCUUGCUCAUCAGAGACGGCACACACACACACUUCACUUUACUUUUGUUUGUGUAAAGCUGCUUUGAGACAAUGACCUUUGUAAAAAAGCGCUAUACAAAUAAAAAUGAAUUGAA